UGGCUUAGUGGUUAAGUGCUACAACUGCUAAUUGAAAGGUCGGCAGUUCAAAUCUGCC
rnacentral:tRNA from 1 species